rnacentral:rRNA from 1 species
UACGAAGGGGGCUAGCGUUGCUCGGAAUCACUGGGCGUAAAGCGCACGUAGGCGGAUUGCUAAGUCAGGGGUGAAAUCCUGGAGCUCAACUCCAGAACUGCCUUUUGAUACUGAGAUCUUGAGUUCCGGGAGAGGUGAGUGGAAACUGCGAGUGUAGAGGUGAAAAUUCGUAGAUAUUUCGCAAGAACACCCAGUGGCGAAAGGGCGGCUCA